rnacentral:tRNA from 2 species
GCGUUGGUAGUAUAUUUGUAGUAUGCCGUCUUUCCAAGUCGGGGGUCUAGUAAGUCUAGCUAACGUA